UCCGAGUUGACCCCGGCAGUCUCCUGCGAGUCCCCGGCGUAAUCCGCUGGCAACACAGGAUAGGGGUUGCGCUCGUUGCGGGACUUAACCCAACAUCUCACGACACGAGCUGGCGACAGCCAUGCAGCACCUGUGCAGGAUCUCCGAAGAGGGGCUCUCGUUUCUGAGAGCUUGCUCCUGCUUGUCAAGCCUAGGUAAGGUUCUUCGCGUUGCGUCGAAUUAAACCACAUGCUCCACCGCUUGUGCGGGCCCCCGUCAAUUCCUUUGAGUUUCAACCUUGCGGUCGUACUCCCCAGGCGGGGUGCUUAAUGCGUUAGCUUCGGCACGGACGGGGUCGAUAUCCGCCCACACCUAGCACCCAACGUUUACGGCUAGGACUAC
rnacentral:misc_RNA from 1 species